CCGCCCGUAACUCAAUUGGCAGAGUAGCGCCCUCUUAAGGCGAAAGUUGUAGGUUCAACUCCUACCGGGCGGA
rfam:Candidatus Yanofskybacteria bacterium RIFCSPHIGHO2_12_FTLL_45_19b rifcsphigho2_12_scaffold_4254, whole genome shotgun sequence.